GUCCAACUGAUAGUUUUGUUCCGCCACCGAAAGUCAACAGAUCUGUACUACUGAUCUCAUGGUAACUCUGACAGUAAUAAUCUCCUGCAUCUUCAGUCUGGACUCC